UACGAAGGGUGCAAACGUUGCUCGGAAUUAUUGGGCGUAAAGCGCACGUAGGCGGCUUUGCAAGUCCCAUGUGAAAUCCCACGGCUCAACCGUGGAAGUGCAUGGGAAACUGCAGAGCUUGAGUACUUAAGAGGAUCGCGGAAUUCCCGGUGUAGAGGUGAAAUUCGUAGAUAUCGGGAGGAACACCAGUGGCGAAGGCGGCACUCUGGGCCGGUACUGACGCUGAGGAGCGAAAGCGUGCGGAGCAAACAGG
rnacentral:rRNA from 1 species